GCCCUGGUAGCUCAAUUGGUUAGAGCGUCGGACUUUUAUGAGCGUUCCAGCUUGUAACUCGUUAUCCGAAGGCUGCGGGUUCGACCCCCGCCUGGGGCG